GGGUUGUGAGGUUAAGCGACUAAGCGUACACGGUGGAUGCCCUGGCAGUCAGAGGCGAUGAAGGACGUGCUAAUCUGCGAAAAGCGUCGGUAAGGUGAUAUGAACCGUUAUAGCCGGCGAUGUCCGAAUGGGGAAACCCAGUGCAAUUCGUUGCACUAUCGUUAACUGAAUACAUAGGUUAACGAGGCGAACCGGGGGAACUGAAACAUCUAAGUACCCCGAGGAAAAGAAAUCAACCGAGAUUCCCCCAGUAGCGGCGAGCGAACGGGGAGCAGCCCAGAGUCUGAAUCAGCUUGUGUGUUAGUGGAACGGUCUGGAAAGUCCGACGGUACAGGGUGAUAGUCCCGUACACCAAAAUGCACAGGCUGUGAACUCGAAGAGUAGGGCGGGACACGUGGUAUCCUGUCUGAAUAUGGGGGGACCAUCCUCCAAGGCUAAAUACUCCUGACUGACCGAUAGUGAACCAGUACCGUGAGGGAAAGGCGAAAAGAACCCCGGCGAGGGGAGUGAAAAAGAACCUGAAACCGUGUACGUACAAGCAGUGGGAGCACCUUUAUGGUGUGACUGCGUACCUUUUGUAUAAUGGGUCAGCGACUUAUAUUCUGUAGCAAGGUUAACCGUAUAGGGGAGCCGCAGGGAAACCGAGUCUUAACUGGGCGUUAAGUUGCAGGGUAUAGACCCGAAACCCGGUGAUCUAGCCAUGGGCAGGUUGAAGGUUGGGUAACACUAACUGGAGGACCGAACCGACUAAUGUUGAAAAAUUAGCGGAUGACUUGUGGCUGGGGGUGAAAGGCCAAUCAAACCGGGAGAUAGCUGGUUCUCCCCGAAAGCUAUUUAGGUAGCGCCUCGUGAACUCAUCUUCGGGGGUAGAGCACUGUUUCGGCUAGGGGGUCAUCCCGACUUACCAACCCGAUGCAAACUACGAAUACCGAAGAAUGUUAUCACGGGAGACACACGGCGGGUGCUAACGUCCGUCGUGAAGAGGGAAACAACCCAGACCGCCAGCUAAGGUCCCAAAGUCAUGGUUAAGUGGGAAACGAUGUGGGAAGGCACAGACAGCCAGGAUGUUGGCUUAGAAGCAGCCAUCAUUUAAAGAAAGCGUAAUAGCUCACUGGUCGAGUCGGCCUGCGCGGAAGAUGUAACGGGGCUAAACCAUGCACCGAAGCUGCGGCAGCGACGCUUAUGCGUUGUUGGGUAGGGGAGCGUUCUGUAAGCCUGCGAAGGUGGCCUGUGAGGGUUGCUGGAGGUAUCAGAAGUGCGAAUGCUGACAUAAGUAACGAUAAAGCGGGUGAAAAGCCCGCUCGCCGGAAGACCAAGGGUUCCUGUCCAACGUUAAUCGGGGCAGGGUGAGUCGACCCCUAAGGCGAGGCCGAAAGGCGUAGUCGAUGGGAAACAGGUUAAUAUUCCUGUACUUGGUGUUACUGCGAAGGGGGGACGGAGAAGGCUAUGUUAGCCGGGCGACGGUUGUCCCGGUUUAAGCAUGUAGGCUGGUUAUCCAGGCAAAUCCGGAUAAUCAAGGCUGAGGUGUGAUGACGAGGCACUACGGUGCUGAAGUAACAAAUGCCCUGCUUCCAGGAAAAGCCUCUAAGCAUCAGGUAACAUCAAAUCGUACCCCAAACCGACACAGGUGGUCAGGUAGAGAAUACCAAGGCGCUUGAGAGAACUCGGGUGAAGGAACUAGGCAAAAUGGUGCCGUAACUUCGGGAGAAGGCACGCUGGUGUGUAGGUGAAGUCCCUGCGGAUGGAGCUGAGACCAGUCGAAGAUACCAGCUGGCUGCAACUGUUUAUUAAAAACACAGCACUGUGCAAACACGAAAGUGGACGUAUACGGUGUGACGCCUGCCCGGUGCCGGAAGGUUAAUUGAUGGGGUUAUCCGUAAGGAGAAGCUCUUGAUCGAAGCCCCGGUAAACGGCGGCCGUAACUAUAACGGUCCUAAGGUAGCGAAAUUCCUUGUCGGGUAAGUUCCGACCUGCACGAAUGGCGUAAUGAUGGCCAGGCUGUCUCCACCCGAGACUCAGUGAAAUUGAACUCGCUGUGAAGAUGCAGUGUACCCGCGGCAAGACGGAAAGACCCCGUGAACCUUUACUAUAGCUUGACACUGAACAUUGAGCCUUGAUGUGUAGGAUAGGUGGGAGGCUUUGAAGCGUGGACGCCAGUCUGCGUGGAGCCAACCUUGAAAUACCACCCUUUAAUGUUUGAUGUUCUAACGUUGGCCCCUAAUCGGGGUUGCGGACAGUGUCUGGUGGGUAGUUUGACUGGGGCGGUCUCCUCCCAAAGCGUAACGGAGGAGCACGAAGGUUAGCUAAUCCUGGUCGGACAUCAGGAGGUUAGUGCAAUGGCAUAAGCUAGCUUGACUGCGAGCGUGACGGCGCGAGCAGGUGCGAAAGCAGGUCAUAGUGAUCCGGUGGUUCUGAAUGGAAGGGCCAUCGCUCAACGGAUAAAAGGUACUCCGGGGAUAACAGGCUGAUACCGCCCAAGAGUUCAUAUCGACGGCGGUGUUUGGCACCUCGAUGUCGGCUCAUCACAUCCUGGGGCUGAAGUAGGUCCCAAGGGUAUGGCUGUUCGCCAUUUAAAGUGGUACGCGAGCUGGGUUUAGAACGUCGUGAGACAGUUCGGUCCCUAUCUGCCGUGGGCGCUGGAGAAUUGAGGGGGGCUGCUCCUAGUACGAGAGGACCGGAGUGGACGCAUCACUGGUGUUCGGGUUGUCAUGCCAAUGGCACUGCCCGGUAGCUAAAUGCGGAAGAGAUAAGUGCUGAAAGCAUCUAAGCACGAAACUUGCCCCGAGAUGAGUUCUCCCUGAGACUUUAAGUCUCCUGAAGGAACGUUGAAGACGACGACGUUGAUAGGCCGGGUGUGUAAGCGCAGCGAUGCGUUGAGCUAACCGGUACUAAUGAACCGUGAGGCUUAACCUUACAACGCCGAAG
rnacentral:rRNA from 1 species